rnacentral:rRNA from 1 species
AUUGAACGCUGGCGGCAGGCCUAACACAUGCAAGUCGAGCGAGCGGCGGACGGGUGAGUAAUGUCUGGGAAACUGCCUGAUGGAGGGGGAUAACUACUGGAAACGGUAGCUAAUACCGCAUAACAUCAGAUGUGCCCAGAUGGGAUUAGCUAGUAGGUGGGGUAACGGCUCACCUAGGCGACGAUCCCUAGCUGGUCUGAGAGGAUGACCAGCCACACGGGAACGGAGACACGGGCCAGACUCCUACGGGAGGCAGCAGGGGGGAAUAUUGCACAAGGGGCGAAAGCCUGAUGCAGCCAUGCCGCGGGGAGGAAGAAGGCCUUCGGGUUGUAAAGUACUUUCAGCGGGGAGGCGUUACCCGCAGAAGAAGCACCGGCUAACUCCGUGCCAGCAGCCGCGUAAUUC